rnacentral:rRNA from 1 species
UGGGGAAUUUUGGACAAUGGGCGCAAGCCUGAUCCAGCCAUGCCGCGUGCGGGAAGAAGGCCUUCGGGUUGUAAACCGCUUUUGUCAGGGAAGAAAUCUUCUGAGUUAAUACCUCGGGAGGAUGACGGUACCUGAAGAAUAAGCACCGGCUAACUACGUGCCAGCAGCCGCGGUAAUACGUAGGGUGCAAGCGUUAAUCGGAAUACUGGGCGUAAAGCGUGCGCAGGCGGUUUUGUAAGACAGAGGUGAAAUCCCCGGGCUCAACCUGGGAACUGCCUUUGUGACUGCAAGGCUUGAGUGCGGCAGAGGGGGGAUGGAAUUCCGCGUGUAGCAGUGAAAUGCGUAGAUAUGCGGAGGAACACCGAUGGCGAAGGCAAUCCCCUGGGCCUGCACUGGCGCUCAUGCACGAAAGCGUGGGGAGCAAACAGGAUUAGAUACCCUGGUAGUCCACGCCCUAAAACGAUGUCAAACUGGUUGUUGGGAAGGUUCCUUCUCAGUAACGUAGCUAACGCGUGAAGUUGACCGCCUGGGGAGUACGGCCGCAAGGUUGAAA